ACACCUCAACUCUCAUGGUUUGCCCAUGACGAGCUUGGACUCUGGGGGAUUUGCUGGCCUGUGGUCAGCUCCCCUCAAACAAAUCAGCUUUCCAGUGUUUGGUGGCAUCAUGGGUGUGAUAAAUAUCUACGCUUGUGGUUUCCUGCCAGGUAACCUUCAGUAAUGGGGGUUCGCUGGGGCUCAUAGACGUCUCUCCCUCAGUGAGGACAACUCUUUAAC
rnacentral:misc_RNA from 1 species